rnacentral:rRNA from 1 species
ACGUAGGGUGCGAGCGUUAAUCGGAAUUACUGGGCGUAAAGCGUGCGCAGGCGGUUCUCCAAGUCCGUUGUGAAAGCCCCGGGCUCAACCUGGGAAUGGCAGUGGAAACUAGGGGACUUGAAUCUGGCAGAGGGGGGUGGAAUUCCACGUGUAGCAGUGAAAUGCGUAGAGAUGUGGAGGAACACCGAUGGCGAAGGCAGCCCCCUGGGCUGAGAUUGACGCUCAGGCACGAAAGCGUGGGGAGCAAACAGGAUUAGAUACCCUGGUAGUCCACGCCCUAAACGAUGUCAACUAGGUGUUGGGGAAGCGAUUUCUCAGUACCGCAGCUAACGCGUGAAGUUGACCGCCUGGGGAGUACGGUCGCAAGAUUA